GGGACAACAGUUGGAAACGACUGCUAAUACCGCAUAAGCCCACGACCCGGCAUCGGGAAGAGGGAAAAGGAGCAAUCCGCUUUGAGAUGGCCUCGCGUCCGAUUAGCUAGUUGGUGAGGUAACGGCCCACCAAGGCAACGAUCGGUAGCCGGACUGAGAGGUUGAACGGCCACAUUGGGACUGAGACACGGCCCAGACUCCUACGGGAGGCAGCAGUGGGGAAUAUUGCACAAUGGGGGAAACCCUGAUGCAGCGACGCCGCGUGGAGGAAGAAGGUCUUCGGAUUGUAAACUCCUGUUGUUGAGGAAGAUAAUGACGGUACUCAACAAGGAAGUGACGGCUAACUACGUGCCAGCAGCCGCGGUAAAACGUAGGUCACAAGCGUUGUCCGGAAUUACUGGGUGUAAAGGGAGCGCAGGCGGGAAGACAAGUUGGAAGUGAAAUCCAUGGGCUCAACCCAUGAACUGCUUUCAAAACUGUUUUUCUUGAGUAGUGCAGAGGUAGGCGGAAUUCCCGGUGUAGCGGUGGAAUGCGUAGAUAUCGGGAGGAACACCAGUGGCGAAGGCGGCCUACUGGGCACCAACUGACGCUGAGGCUCGAAAGUGUGGGUAGCAAACAGGAUUAGAUACCCUGGUAGUCCACACCGUAAACGAUGAUUACUAGGUGUUGGAGGAUUGACCCCUUCAGUGCCGCAG
rnacentral:rRNA from 1 species